rnacentral:rRNA from 1 species
AGAGUUUGAUCAUGGCUCAGGACGAACGCUGGCGGCGUGCCUAACACAUGCAAGUCGAGCGAGUGGAUCUCCUUCGGGAGAGAAGCUAGCGGCGGACGGGUGAGUAACACGUGGGCAACCUGCCUCAUAGAGGGGAAUAGCCUCCCGAAAGGGAGAUUAAUACCGCAUAAGAUUGUAGCUUCGCAUGAAGUAGCAAUUAAAGGAGCAAUCCGCUAUGAGAUGGGCCCGCGGCGCAUUAGCUAGUUGGUGAGGUAACGGCUCACCAAGGCGACGAUGCGUAGCCGACCUGAGAGGGUGAUCGGCCACAUUGGGACUGAGACACGGCCCAGACCCCUACGGGAGGCAGCAGUGGGGAAUAUUGCACAAUGGGGGAAACCCUGAUGCAGCAACGCCGCGUGAGUGAUGACGGCCUUCGGGUUGUAAAGCUCUGUCUUCAGGGACGAUAAUGACGGUACCUGAGGAGGAAGCCACGGCUAACUACGUGCCAGCAGCCGCGGUAAUACGUAGGUGGCGAGCGUUGUCCGGAUUUACUGGGCGUAAAGGGAGCGUAGGCGGACUUUUAAGUGAGAUGUGAAAUACCCGGGCUCAACUUGGGUGCUGCAUUUCAAACUGGAAGUCUAGAGUGCAGGAGAGGAGAAUGGAAUUCCUAGUGUAGCGGUGAAAUGCGUAGAGAUUAGGAAGAACACCAGUGGCGAAGGCGAUUCUCUGGACUGUAACUGACGCUGAGGCUCGAAAGCGUGGGGAGCAAACAGGAUUAGAUACCCUGUAGUCCACGCCGUAAACGAUGAAGACUAGGUGUAGGGGUUGUCAUGACCUCUGUGCCGCCGCUAACGCAUUAAGUAUUCCGCCUGGGGAGUACGGUCGCAGAUUAAAACUCAAAGGAAUUGACGG